rnacentral:rRNA from 1 species
GUCGAGAAUAAUUCACAAUGGACGAAAGUCUGAUGGUGCAACGCCGCGUGGAGGAUGACGGUCUUCGGAUUGUAAACUCCUGUCAUCCGGGAGUAAGACCUGGCUGUGAAUAGCAGACAGGGUUGAUAGUACCGGAAGAGGAAGGGACGGCUAACUUCGUGCCAGCAGCCGCGGUAAUACGAAGGUCCCGAGCGUUGUUCGGAAUCACUGGGCGUAAAGGGAGCGUAGGCGGCGUGGUAAGUCAGAUGUGAAAUCCCGGGGCUCAACCCCGGAACUGCAUCCGAUACUGCCAUGCUUGAGGGUUGGAGAGGUAGCUGGAAUUCUCGGUGUAGCAGUGAAAUGCGUGGAUAUCGAGAGGAACACUCGUGGCGAAGGCGAGCUACUGGACAACAUCUGACGCUGAGGCUCGAAGGCCAGGGGAGCAAAAGGGAUUAGAAACCCGUGUAGUCC